rnacentral:tRNA from 1 species
UGGGAUAUAGCUCAGUGGUACAGCACUUGUCUAGCAUUCAUGAGGCCCUGGGUUUCAAUUCCCAGUACUACAA